rnacentral:rRNA from 1 species
ACGCCUACGGGGCGCAGCAGUGGGGAAUAUUGCACAAUGGGCGCAAGCCUGAUGCAGCGACGCCGCGUGCGGGAUGGAGGCCAUCGGGUUGUAAACCGCUGAUGGUGAAGGGCAAGGCACGGUCUUUGGCCGUGUUGAGUGGAUUGUUCGAAUAAGCACCGGCUAACCACGUGCCAGCAGCCGCGGUAAUACGUAGGGUGCAAGCGUUAUCCGGAUUUAUUGGGCGUAAAGGGCUCGUAGGCGGUUCGUCGCGUCCGGUGUGAAAGUCCAUCGCUUAACGGUGGAUCCGCGCCGUGUA